UUUUUUUUUUUUGACCCAUGGUAGGUUAGCAUGCCAUCCAAACCCAACACACCAAUCCCAAUUUCUCCUCUUUGACAAAGUUAUCCUCUUGCCUUUAAGUGACGGUUCCCUGUGCAUUCCACAUUUUAGUCUCCAGCUAACUCCAGCAAAGAGAUGCAUUUACUCCUGCCCCCACCACUUUUUGUGGCUGUUUUUCAGAAUAGUAGUGUUCAUUUAUUUCCCUGCCAUUAAAUGUGUGUAUAUUUCUGCAGUUUUUGUAGUAACUGCAGCAUUAAGUGUUUUGAAAAGGGGGUAGGUAGCCAAUAUCUCUACUUUUUGGAGUAACCAGGAACUCAGGGUGCCGAAAUGAUAGAGGACACUAACAGCUAUCAGUUCAAUACUUAAAAGUGAGAGGAUUACAAAGGUGUGUACUUUUCUUUGCUACUUUUUCCUCUUUACUGAUGCUUUUCCAUUGAAAAUAUUGCAACUGUUUUCAGCUCUGCAGAAAUUAGCCUAUAUGUCUUCUCACUUGCAAUCUGUUACCUACUUCACUUGUCAUACUCUCUUUGAUAGACGAACCAGGGUGCACUUACAAAAGACAAACAAAAGUAAUCAUAAUAAUGAAAACUUAUAAAUAUAUUGAGAAGUUUUCAGAGUCCAAAUUCUUUUUUUAUUUUUAUUUUAAAGACUAUAACUUCAGUUGUGUGUAUGUGGGGGCUUCAGGGAAAAAAUAGGAAAUGAAAAGGGGUAGUAAUUGGAUUGGGAAGGGUGAAACAAACAUACUUUGCUAUGAAGAGCACUGGGAUACAUGCUGGAGCCCACUGGAGGACUUGGUUGGGAGGGGAAGAAAAACUCACUGUAAGCCUAAUUGUCAGUAAGCAACCAACUUGCCAUGGCUUAUUCAUAGGUGGAUUAGUGUGACAUUCAGACUUUUCCAAUAACAGAUGAGGGAGUUUAGACUUAAUGCCAAAACAAAUAUUUAAAAGUGUGCAAAGGACCCUUUGUAUCUUCUUGUAUUACACUUUAUACUUUCCUGAGUUGAUCCUCGCAUUAUAAACAAGUUUGAAUGCAAAACCCGAUGAGGUGGUGGUUGCAAGCAGUAUGUCAGCCCCUCUGCCCAGAGAGAAAGAACUCCCCCACAGAACACAGCGCUUUGUUAAGUAUUUGAAUACUGAGUUACAUGCUUGGCUUAAAUAGGAUCUCACUUACUGACAUGUCAACUACUUAAUGGUAUGCUUUCGAUGUCUCUUGAUUUUUUAAAAAUCAUAUUUGAUUUACUCUGUUAUUAAGGCCUCCUGGAAUUGGAUUUUGGAACAGACCUCCUAAUAUGUAUAGCCGUAGAAAUAUGGCUCUAUGGAGGACAUACUAUAUAGACUUUUCGGGGGUUGUAUGGGGCCUCUUGGUGUCCAGAAUCGAUAGUGGUCAAGGAUAACCAUUUAUGUAGGUGGUGAUUUAGGGGAAUUCUAUGCUCAUUUUCCAAUUUGAGAGACAAUGUUUCUAUAUUCACCUGCAUGAUUUGGUAUGAUGGUAGUUCUGCAUAUUAUCAAAUGAAUUGGUAUUAUUGGAGUGUAGUAUCAGAGCAAAAAUGUAUAUGUAAUUGAUGUUCAUAAUUUUUCCCUUGUGUAAUCCCCUUUCUUAGAAAAUAAAUCUAAAGGUCUUCAGUGGGUGAUAGAUACCACCAUUGCUUAUCCCAAAGCUGAACCCAUAGAUAUCCAGACCUGGAUUCUUGGCUACAGGCGACCAACAAUUACCCAUGUCCAUUACAGGCAUUUUGAGGAGAAAACAUCAUUGCAAGAUCCUUUAAAAAGAGGCAGCGGUUAUAGAAAUAGAAAUUGGUUGGUGAAAUGAGUAAAUAAAUUCUUGGUGGUUGAAGAUUUUUUCAAUUAAAGAUGUACCUAUUGAGGCUGAAGCCCUCACUGCUUGGUUAUAUCAACGGUU